UGGGGAAUCUUGGACAAUGGGGGCAACCCUGAUCCAGCGACGCCGCGUGGGUGAAGAAGGCCUUAGGGUUGUAAACCCCUUUCAGGAGGGAAGAAAUUGACGGUACCUCCAAAAGAAGGACCGGCCAACUACGUGCCAGCAGCCGCGGUAAUACGUAGGGUCCUAGCGUUAUCCGGAAUCAUUGGGCGUAAAGAGCUCGUAGGCGGUUCAACAAGUCGGCUGUGAAAGUCCGAGGCUCAACCUCGGAAUUGCAGUCGAUACUGUUGUGACUUGAAUUCGGUAGAGGAGAUUGGAAUUCCACGUGGAGCGGUGAAAUGCGCAGAUAUGUGGAGGAACACCAGUAGCGAAGGCGGAUCUCUGGGCCGAUAUUGACGCUGAGGAGCGAAAGCGUGGGGAGCAAACAGGAUUAGAUACCCCUGUAGUCC
rnacentral:rRNA from 1 species